UACGUAGGGGGCAAGCGUUGUCCGGAAUCAUUGGGCGUAAAGAGCGUGUAGGCGGCCCGAUAAGUCCGCUGUGAAAGUCCAGGGCUCAACCCUGGAAUGCCGGUGGAUACUGUCGGGCUCGAAUCUGGAAGAGGUGAGUGGAAUUCCUGGUGUAGCGGUGAAAUGCGCAGAUAUCAGGAGGAACACCAAUGGCGAAGGCAGCUCACUGGGACGGUAUUGACGCUGAGACGCGAAAGCGUGGGGAGCAAACAGG
rnacentral:rRNA from 1 species